rnacentral:rRNA from 1 species
GUGGGGAAUAUUGGACAAUGGGCGAAAGCCUGAUCCAGCCAUGCCGCGUGUGUGAAGAAGGUCUUCGGAUUGUAAAGCACUUUAAGUUGGGAGGAAGGGCAGUAAGUUAAUACCUUGCUGUUUUGACGUUACCGACAGAAUAAGCACCGGCUAACUCUGUGCCAGCAGCCGCGGUAAUACAGAGGGUGCAAGCGUUAAUCGGAAUUACUGGGCGUAAAGCGCGCGUAGGUGGUUCGUUAAGUUGGAUGGGAAAGCCCCGGGCUCAACCUGGGAACUGCAUCCAAAACUGGCGAGCUAGAGUACGGUAGAGGGUGGUGGAAUUUCCUGUGUAGCGGCGAAAUGCGUAGAUAUAGGAAGGAACACCAGUGGCGAAGGCGACCACCUGGACUGAUACUGACACUGAGGUGCGAAAGCGUGGGGAGCAAACAGGAUUAGAAACCCCAGUAGUCC